rnacentral:ribozyme from 1 species
AUCAAUCUUUUUCAGACACGGGGUAGGAUCCAAAUCCUCUUGAAUGGUCAAAUAGCCUCUCCUAACCAACUCAUGUACCGUCACGUCCUCGUCGUGUCUAUUCCAAACUUGGAUAAACGGACUAGACCCAACCCCUUGGGCGAGUGGUGAUGCAGGACAAAACAAGAAGAA